rnacentral:rRNA from 1 species
GAUGUGCUUGCACAUCGCUGACGAGUGGCGGACGGGUGAGUAAUGCUUGGGAACUUGCCUUUGCGAGGGGGAUACAGUUGGAAACGACUGCUAAUACCGCAUAAUGUCUACGGACCAAACGGGGCUUUUAGCUCCGGCGCAAAGAGAGGCCCAAGUGAGAUUAGCUAGUUGGUAAGGUAACGGCUUACCAAGGCGACGAUCUCUAGCUGUUCUGAGAGGAAGAUCAGCCACACUGGGACUGAGACACGGCCCAGACUCCUACGGGAGGCAGCAGUGGGGAAUAUUGCACAAUGGGGGAAACCCUGAUGCAGCCAUGCCGCGUGUGUGAAGAAGGCCUUCGGGUUGUAAAGCACUUUCAGUUGUGAGGAAAAGUUAGUAGUUAAUACCUGCUAGCCGUGACGUUAACAACAGAAGAAGCACCGGCUAACUCCGUGCCAGCAGCCGCGGUAAUACGGAGGGUGCGAGCGUUAAUCGGAAUUACUGGGCGUAAAGCGCACGCAGGCGGUUUGUUAAGCUAGAUGUGAAAGCCCCGGGCUCAACCUGGGAUGGUCAUUUAGAACUGGCAGACUAGAGUCUUGGAGAGGGGAGUGGAAUUCCAGGUGUAGCGGUGAAAUGCGUAGAUAUCUGGAGGAACAUCAGUGGCGAAGGCGACUCCCUGGCCAAAGACUGACGCUCAUGUGCGAAAGUGUGGGUAGCGAACAGGAUUAGAUACCCUGGUAGUCCACACCGUAAACGCUGUCUAC